rnacentral:misc_RNA from 1 species
CGCACAUUGCGCCUAUUGGUAUUCCAAUAGGCAUGCCUGUUCGAGCGUCAUUUAGCCCUUCAAGCUUUGCUUGGUGUUGGGUACUGUUCGCCUUGCGAACUUGCCUUGAAUAAAUUGGCAGCCAGCCAUUAGGUGUUGGAGCGUAGCACAUUUUGCGUUCCUAGCCAUAGUAGCCGGCGUCCAGAAAGCUUAUUUUAACGUUUGACCUCGGAUCAGGUAGGGAUACCCGCUGAACUUAA